AUCUUCCAGUGUUGCUAGUUCAAAAUGCCAAACUCCAGAACCUCAUCUCAGAUCUACCAAAGGUGCAUCUCCAGGUGGUGGAGCCUGGGAAUCUGAAUUUUAAUACACACCAAGAAAUCUAACAUGCAUUAGACACCAAGAAUCAUUUCUCCAUAUUCUGCUAUUAUUCAUCAAUGGAGGAAAAUAGGCAAAGCUAAUCAGAUAUGUAGAGAAUUUUAUUUUUUCAUGCAUCACUCAGUACAAAUGUAUAGUCACUACUAUAUAUCAGGCAAUGAGUCUAGUCCUGUUAGGUCACACUAUAGGAGAAAAUUAGGUCUCCUAUAGGAGAAAAUUGCAUAUCUGCUCAUAGUUUGGAGCCAUUAGCUUUGCUUGGGGAGGUUGUAUUGGUGAAGAUGUAUUCAGCUGCAAGUUAUGGAAUAUCCAACCAAAAGCAGCUUUAAAUUACAGAUAUUUAAUUGUCUAUUAAAUUAAAAAGUACAGCUGGAUAGAGUUCUGGAUUUGGUGAGCAGACCAACAGCAAGCCUCUAGCCACUUACUACCACCCUGCUUGCCAUCCUCAGCAAGCUGCCAGAGUGGAGAAGAUGUCACCUCCUUUGUCCUAGACAUAGUAUUUCUUUUAAUUCAGCCUGAAGUCACAUUGGCACUUUUUUCUUUUUUGGCAGCCACAUCAAUUCCAACUCAUUUGGAGUCAACUAGUACUCUCAGUUUUUUUUAACAUGCUGCUGCUGCUAAGCCACUUCCCACUGACGUGUAUUUUGCACAGAUUUUGCUUUAUUUUGCUGUGUUGUUUUUGAGAGGUAACAAUUUCCCUUGCAUGGUAGCUUUGCAGAAAGGGAAUCACUCUCCUGCAAAGGUGCACAAACUACAAUCCAGUACAAAUCCAUCCUGUUCAGCCACAAGGCCUGGUUCUCAAGCCCCUAAUUAUGCCACAAAGGAGGAAGUGCUUCUUCAGCUAUGAACUCUUACGCGGCAAAUCCUGUAGAUAAUAAUCCCAACCUACUGAUUACGCCAGGGCAGGUGCUGAUUCCUAUUCCCCCCAAACACACAUCUCAAGCUGGUAGGAUGGGGCUGAACCUAAGAUUCUGUCAUGUCAUAUGGUUAUUUUACCUUCUGACUACAUAAAGUGCCUGUUGGGACCUAAUUUUUUGUUUGUUUGUUUGUUUGUUUUGUUUUGUUUUGUUUUUUGAGACAGAGUCUCAUUCUGUUCCCCAGGCUGGAGUGUAGUGGCAUGAUCUCAGCUCACUGCAACCCCCGCCUCCCAGGUUCAAGCAAUUCUCCUGCCUCAGCCUCCCAAGUAGCUGGGACUACAGGCGGCACCACCACACCAGGCUAAUUUUUGUAUUUUUAGUAGAGACAGGGUUUCACUAUGUUGGCCAGGCUGGUCUCGAACUCCUGACCUCAGGUGUUCCACAUGCCUCAGCCUCCCAAAGUGCUGGGAUUACAGGCAUAAGCCACCAACCACAGCCCCUAAUGUUUUUCUUAUCAUGCAGCUUGAAAGUCCCUCAGCUUGACAGUGUGGGGAGAUGAAGGCAAACCCGCAUACAGGAAAGGAGAGAGCUACACAGUGAGAGAAGUUGUUGCUUGAUUGGUGCAGAGUUCUGUGGCUUCCAAAUAGGCUGCCCAUCAUGUUCUCAAAGUGGAGGGAGUGACAGACCUGCUCAGAAAACCUAGGCUCCUGGUUUUGCCUUAGACCUGAUAAGCAGAAUGUGCUAGAAAUCCGAGGGAUUUGAGCCUUUGUCACACAGAUAAUGAUGGAAACAACUGGUAUAUGGGUUUGGAGAAGAGGGAACAGAAGCUCAGUAAGCAGUUUUAACUGACUCUAUGCUCCCCAUACCAGGACCAGGACAUGCCGUAACCACCAAAACAGCCCAAUUCAAUUCAACUUUGUGUAAUAAAAUGGAGAGUUUUCUGUUGCCAUGUACCUCCAAGUUAAAGGUCACAUAAUCUGAGCAUGCCCAGACGAACCAACUGUGCAACCAUGAGCAGAACCUAAGUGUCUGGCCCAAGGAAUGAGGACUGAAUUAAGAAAUGGACAUCACAUGUCAGGAUCCAAUCAGAUGAAUCCCUGGCAUCACCCCAUGGCAGGAUCCAGUCAGAGCACACCUCCCAGUAUCACCUCAUCACCUCAUUUCAAGAUCCAAUCUGAUCACACCUCACUACCCUACGCUUAUAAAACCUAUCCCAGCUCUCAGCUCAGGGAGACAGAUCUGAACAUUUCUUCCUAUGUCCUUACCAGUCGACUUGCUUUUCUUUCCUCAAAAGCUUGUCCCAUGGUAUUGGCCACUCUGCACAUCAGGAAACAAGCCCAUUCAUUGCCUAGCAACGAUGGAAACUACUGGAAAAGAUUUAUUUCAAAUCUUCAGUGAUUUCAUCUCUGUAAAGGUGUGCUCCCCUGAGUGUGGUAAGGUCCUCAUCACUAGAAGUAUUCAGUUAUGAACUGGACAACCAUCCGGUUAGGAUUCUUUAGAAAUAAUUGAAACACUGGUUGGGUGUUUCUGGGAUUUUGAAAAUCUUUUCAAGCCAUUGAAGUCUUUACUUUUCUACUUAAAACCUCUACACGUUUGUGU
rnacentral:lncRNA from 1 species